UUUGAUACCUGGCAGAGGAGAUACCAUGAUCAUGAAGGUGGUUUUCCCAGGGCCAGGCUUAUCCACUGCACUUUGGAUGUGCUUGGCCCCUGUGAUUUCCCCUAAUGUGGGAAACUCAACUGCAUAGUUUGUGGUAGAGGUAGACUGCAUUCGCACUCUUCCCUG